CCUACGGGGGGCAGCAGUGAGGAAUAUUGGUCAAUGGACGCAAGUCUGAACCAGCCAUGCCGCGUGCAGGAAGACGGCGCUAUGAGUUGUAAACUGCUUUUGUACGAGGGUAAACGCAGAUACGCGUAUCUGUCUGAAAGUAUCGUACGAAUAAGGAUCGGCUAACUCCGUGCCAGCAGCCGCGGUAAUACGGAGGAUUCAAGCGUUAUCCGGAUUUAGUGGGUUUAAAGGGUGCGUAGGCGGGCGGCUAAGUUAGUGGUGAAAUCCCGAGGCUCAACUUCGGAAUUGCCUCUGAUACUUGUCGGCUAGAGAGUAGUUGCGGUAGGCGGAAUGUCUGGUGUAGCGGUGAAAUGCUUAGAGAUCAUGCAGAACACCGAUUGCGAAGGCAGCUUACCAAGCUGCAUCUGACGUUGAGGCACGAAAGCGUGGGGAGCAAACAGGAUUAGAUACCCUAGUAGUC
rnacentral:rRNA from 1 species